rnacentral:misc_RNA from 1 species
GGGAGAGCAUCUUCUUCCGUCGACGGUUCCACCAGAUGUAGAGUAUUACGAGAACCAAAGCGGCACUUCACAGGGCACUCUUCUCAUUCGAUCUGCCCUUCAAUCUUCUCCCAUUGAUUUUAUGAUAGCAAGUUGGCUGCACUUAGAGCAACCACAGGGCGGUGCGUUCAACAUAACCAAUAUUGCAGGUUACUUGAAACCCUCAAACGACAUUCCUCAUUUUCAAUUCGAGUUGGUUCAAUG